UCUGACGCGGCUCCCGCCGCCAGCCCCCUAGCGCCGACGUUGCUCCUGCCGCCGGCCGAUGCGCCUCCCGCCGACGCCCCCCGACCUAACUACCGCGGCCGCCUACCACAAAGGCCACCAUGGCCGCCACUCCCCCGUCGGCCUCGCGUAGCCCCACCCCGCCGGCCUCGCGCCACCCCUUCCCGCUGGCCCCGCGCGCCGCCUGGAUAGCCUCGCCACCGGACGCCCACGUCACCGUCCUCCGCCACGGUCAUGCUCCUCCCGGUGAUGUGCGUCACCAACGCCAGGAUCCCCACCUUAUCCCGCAUGUCGCGCGCCCCUCCCCACCGGCCUCUCUUCCGCACACGGCCACUGCCCGACCCACCCGCGAAGGCCACCAGUCACCCAUUGCUCCAGUCGCCGCUCAAAAAUCCAGAUGCAGUUCAGGGACUUCUGCUGCUGCAGGUCGCACCGCUCUACAUCCAUGAAGGUCGCCUCUUCCCUGCCCUUGCUCUGCAUCUAGUAGGCCAAAAAUUGUACAUCUGUAUUUCCAAGCAUUGACCCGUGAGGCUCAAGUUCCGCAGAAGUUCACGUACAGUAGAGCCUUAUAUCUGUUUUGACAGCAAGAUUAAUUAGAUCGGUGCCUUUCAGUUACAAUGCUAAUACAAAAAUGCGUCCACUUCCUGAAUAUGCAUCUUCCUUUGCUUUAAUCUUCCCUGAUCCUUUGCUUUAACCGUCCAAUAGCGACCGCCGUGCAGCCCAACCUCGCCUGUGCCUGCAGUGCCUCGUCAACCACUCGCUCGCAUAGAUCCUUUGCGGGACGCCGGCUGCGUGCUAGCUACUCGGCAUUCGCAUCUCCUCUCACUGCUAACUAUAGCCUGGAAUGCGUCUGCAUGAGCUCCAUGACAGGCUAUAUAUGGAGGCUACGGAACAACUAGAAUUUAACUUAUUUUAGUUUGUGCAUUUCUACUGCUGCCGAUAGAGAGGAGAACAACGAUGGUAUUUUUCUCUGAACUUUCAUCUACAUGUGUUGAGAUUAUGUCUCAGGCCAUGGCUAUUAAUUCUCCCUGAACUUUUUUGUGCGCCUGGUCCUGGUCAUUUUCAGGCUACAGCUAUUUUCUCUCUGAACACUUCUAGGGGCUAAAAAAGGCGGGGUGAUGUAGCAGUGGCGAAGUAGCCAUCAAUGAGGAGCAAUGGCACUGUUGGAUGAACUUCACGUGUCAAUGCCUCUGCGAAAAUGGUUUUGUGUAGUUUUGUAUUUUAGUGCAAGCACUCUCAACUCCUUGAAACCGCCCCACGCCCAGCUGAUGUGUUUAAGUGUCUUGCCAGUUUGCUUUGGCCUACAGAAGCUACUACUAUUUGUGUCUACAUCAGAACUCAGGUGUCUGGAGAAAAAUGCCUGUUGCAUCACAUUUGUUUGUGUUUAUCCUCUGAAAAAACUGGCCAUUGUUGCCGGCUUCGCAAGAUGCGUCAGUUCAGCUGCAAAAAAACGAGCAUUAUAUACCGUCGUCAAGCUCGCUCACUUGUUGGAAUGAAAAGACGACUGAAGGUCAAAAGAAAUUGUUCGAGAAGGUCAAAAGUAUGUUUAUAUUUUCUGGAACACCAACACUCUCUUGACAUCAUUGGUUAUCGAAUAAGUGUUGUCCAUCAUUUUCAUCAAUGCCUUAAUUGAUGAAAAGAAUGCUGCUGCUCGCUUCCAGUGCUAUGUGUGUGUUAGAACAUCUCUGUGUCUCACCUAUCUUAGCUAUUCUCCUGCUCUCUAAGGUACUAUCUUAAGCUUGUACAACUUGUUAGAACAAAUGAAAAUGUACUAAUCUGAAGUUCAGGGAUGAUGAAGAAAGAAGACAUGGGAUCUAGGAUCUUGUGAUUUUCCAUGAGACUCGGACAACCUCCCCGCACCAUCCUUCUCCCGUUGCGACCUCCCUUUCUGCCACGUCUCCAACGACCGCUGCUGCUGCUACCUCCCGGCUAUAUGAAAUGGGGUUGCUGCAGUCCGCAUUGUGCUACACCAGCAGGAUGGCUCCUUAAGAUCGUGCCACUCGUCCUUCUUCCAUCGACCAUGGUAGCCAUCACCGUCAGUAAAGCUAUACUCCAUGAUCAAUGUGUUUGCUGGGCGCGCUUGAUGCAUACGAGCGCCUCACACUGCGCUCCAGGGAAGUAGCCGGGGGAAGGAACUGGCUGCACACUCGCUGCUUUUGGCAUGGUCCAGUGGUGGUUCGCUAGGCGGCAGGUCAUGUUUAUGUGAGCUAGAAGUAAGAGUGUGAAGCGUUACAUAUGUUGCUUUGCUCAUGGGUUUGAGUGAGCGAAAUGUACAUGCACGGGAAAUGCGAAUGUGCCUUAUUAGUGAGUAUGUUGGUUGUGUCACCGUGUCAUCUAGGACAACUAGUAACGCUACACUGAUUUUGGAAAAUGUAAAUUAAAAUGUUAACGUUCA